rnacentral:rRNA from 1 species
UACGUAGGGUGCAAGCGUUGUCCGGAAUUAUUGGGCGUAAGAGCUCGUAGGCGGUUGUCGCGUCUGCUGUGAAAACUCGGGGCUUAACCCGGCCUGCAGUGGGUACGGGCAGACUAGAGUGCGGUAGGGGAGACUGGAAUUCCUGGUGUAGCGGUGAAAUGCGCAGAUAUCAGGAGGAACACCGGUGGCGAAGGCGGGUCUCUGGGCCGUAACUGACGCUGAGGAGCGAAAGCGUGGGAGCGAACAGG